rnacentral:rRNA from 1 species
UACGUAGGGGGCAAGCGUUGUCCGGAAUCAUUGGGCGUAAAGCGCGCGUAGGCGGUUCGAUAAGUCUGCUGUGAAAGUCCAGGGCUCAACCCUGGAAAGCCGGUGGAUACUGUCAGACUAGAGUGCGGAAGAGGCGAGUGGAAUUCCCGGUGUAGCGGUGAAAUGCGCAGAUAUCGGGAGGAACACCAAUUGCGAAGGCAGCUCGCUGGGACGUUACUGACGCUGAGACGCGAAAGCGUGGGGAGCAAACAGG